CCCUGCCAUUUGUACACACCGCCCGUCGCUACUACCGAUUGAAUGGUUUAGUGAGGCCUCGGGACUGGCGCGGACUGGCGGCAACGUUGGUCUGAGCCGGGAACUUGGUCAAACUUGAUCAUUUAGAG
rnacentral:rRNA from 1 species